UACAGGGGGUGCUAGCGUUGUUCGGAAUUACUGGGCGUAAAGGGCGCGUAGGUGGCCCUGUAAGUCAGGAGUGAAAUCCCGGAGCUUAACUCCGGAAUUGCUUUGAAACUACAGGGCUAGAGUAUGUUAGAGGAUGGCGGAAUUCCUAGUGUAGAAGUGAAAUUCGUAGAUAUUAGGAAGAACACCGGUGGCGAAGGCGGCCAUCUGGGACAUAACUGACACUGAGGCGCGAAAGCGUGGGGAUCAAACAGG
rnacentral:rRNA from 1 species